rnacentral:lncRNA from 1 species
GCUAUAAAGAACUACCUGAGACUGGGUAAUUUAUAAAGAAAAGAGGUUUAAUUGACUCACAGUUCUCCAGGCUGAACAGAAAGCAUGACUGAGGAAGCCUCAGUAAACUUACAAUUAUGGCAGAAGGUGAAGAGAAAGCAGACACCUCUUAACAUGCUGGAGAAGGAGGAAGAGAGAGAGAAGGGGGAAGUCCUACACUCUUUUAUAAACAACCAGAUCUCAUGAGAAUUCACUCACUAUUACAAGAACAGAAAGGUUCUUGGUUCAUGGUUCAAUCAGCUCCUACCAGGCUCCUCCUCCAACAUUGGGGAUUACAAUUCAACAUGAAAUUUCAGCAGAGACACUGACUCAAAUCAUAUCAGCAGAUGGGAGAAUAUUCUAAAUGAAUUAUUAACCCAGAAGAAUUUAAGAAAAUUUCAUUGCACCCAGGAGAGGAAAAAAAAAGAAUCCAUCCUCCUUCUUGGUGAAGGGGAUAGGAAAUACGACCUGUCUCACUUUGAUCCAUAUUGAAGGCUUCGGAUUUCCUUCAUUCUCCAAGUGAUGCAAAACCAAGAUUCUCACCUAAGUGCUGAAACGACCUCAUAGCACAAAGGGGAGACAGAAAUUUUAAAAGGUAAUUAUGAAACAUAAAACAGAUGCUAAAAUGAAUAGAUGGGCAUAGACCUGUGGGACUGCAAAGCAAAACAAAUUAUUAAGGGUUUGAUGGUCAGUGUUAUCUAAACAUUGUGUAAACUUUUAAAUGUUUAUGAAUCCCAUCUCAGAGGUGUAACUAAUAUUUGUUUGUGUGUGUGUGUGUGUGUGUGAUACACUGAGCAACUGUAUACCACCUAGCAAGUGGCAUUCUUGCUUAGCGACUUACACUGGCCUGUUUACUCACCCUGCUG